UUAUGGCCAUAUCACAUUCAAACACCAGUCCCAUACAAUCAAUGAAGUUAAGCAAUGUUAAGCCUGGUCAGUACCUAGAUGAGUGACCACUUGGGAAUACCAGGUGCUGUAUG